GACGAACGCUGGCGGCGUGCUUAACACAUGCAAGUCGAACGAAGAGCGACGGAAUCUUGCUUCUAUCAAUCUUAGUGGCGCACGGGUGAGUAACGCGUAAUCAACCUGCCCUUCAGAGGGGGACAACAGUUGGAAACGACUGCUAAUACCUCAUACUAUCUAACCUCGGCAUCGAGGAUAGAUUAAAGGUGGCCUCUACAUGUAAGCUCUCACUGAAGUUGUUGAUUGCGUCUGAUUAUCUAGUUGGUGGGGGAACGUCCCACAAAUGCGAAGAUCAGUAGACGGUCUGAGAGGAUGAACGGCAAAAUUGGGAAUGGGAAAAGGCCCAGAAUACUAAGGGAGGCAGCAGUGGGGAAACUUCCGAAAUGGAGGAAAGUCUGACGGAGCAAAGCCGAGGGAGGGAUGAAGGCCGUCGGGUUGGAAAGAUCGGUUAAUCGGGAAGAAAGGCCUUCUUGCGAAUAGUGAGAAGGAUUGACGGUACCGGAAGAGAAAGCAACGGCUAACUACGUG
rnacentral:rRNA from 1 species